rnacentral:rRNA from 1 species
CAGUCGCCGCGGUAAUACGUAGGGGGCAAGCGUUGUCCGGAAUUAUUGGGCGUAAAGCGCGCGCAGGCGGUCAUGUAAGUCUGGUGUUUAAUCCCGGGGCUCAACCCCGGAUCGCACUGGAAACUGUGUGACUUGAGUGCAGAAGAGGAGAGUGGAAUUCCACGUGUAGCGGUGAAAUGCGUAGAGAUGUGGAGGAACACCAGUGGCGAAGGCGACUCUCUGGGCUGUAACUGACGCUGAGGCGCGAAAGCGUGGGGAGCAAACAGGAUUAGAUACCCGGGUAGUCCCUGUCUCUUAUACA